UUCCAAAUAUCACAUGUCUAAGGAGAAAUAAAAGAAUGUAAUAUACUACCACAGCCAAGUCCUUGUGAUACCAAAUCACCAUGGAGAUAUUGCUGUCUAAAUGCAUGUCAUUGAGCUUGUGUGCAACAAAGACAAGUUGCUGGACUUAGAAUGUGGAACCGUUCCAUCCAAAGUUGGAACCCUUGGUGUCAUAAAACUUGAGGAAGAAUCGUGACUUGGGCACUGACAACUUCAUCUCAAGGAUU
rnacentral:misc_RNA from 1 species